AGUGAACGCUGGCGGUAGGCCUAACACAUGCAAGUCGAACGGCAGCACAGUAAGAGCUUGCUCUUACGGGUGGCGAGUGGCGGACGGGUGAGGAAUACAUCGGAAUCUACUUUUUCGUGGGGGAUAACGUAGGGAAACUUACGCUAAUACCGCAUACGACCUACGGGUGAAAGCAGGGGAUCUUCGGACCUUGCGCGAUUGAAUGAGCCGAUGUCGGAUUAGCUAGUUGGCGGGGUAAAGGCCCACCAAGGCGACGAUCCGUAGCUGGUCUGAGAGGAUGAUCAGCCACACUGGGACUGAGACACGGUCCAGACUCCUACGGGAGGCAGGAGUGGGGAAUAUUGGACAAUGGGCGCAAGCCUUAUCCAGCCAUACCGCGUGGGUGAAGAAGGCCUUCGGGUUUUAAAGCCCUUUUGUUGGGAAAGAAAAGCAGCAGGGUAAUACCCCGCUGUUCUGACGGUACCCAAAAGAUAAGCACCGGCUAACUUCGUG
rnacentral:rRNA from 1 species